rnacentral:rRNA from 1 species
GAGUUUGAUCAUGGCCAGGACGAACGCUGGCGGUGUGCUUAACACAUGCAAGUGGUGCGACGAACCAGGCUUCGGCCUGGGGCAAAGCCGCGAACGGGUGAGUAACACGUGGGUAAUCUGCCCCGAUGACCGGGACAACCCGAGGAAACUCGGGCUAAUACCGGAUGUGGUGCCCCAGACAUAAGUCUGGUCACUAAAGGUAGCUUCGGCUUCCGCAUUGGGAGGGGCCCGCGGCCCAUUAGCUUGUUGGUGGGGUCAAGGCCUACCAAGGCAACGAUGGGUAGCUGGUCUGAGAGGACGAUCAGCCACACUGGGACUGAGACACGGCCCAGACUCCUACGGGAGGCAGCAGUGGGGAAUCUUGCGCAAUGCGCGAAAGCGUGACGCAGCAACACCGCGUGAGGGAAGACGGCCUUAGGGUUGUAAACCUCUUUCAGAUGGGACGAAGGUUCGGCGGUGAAUAGCCGAUCGGAUUGACGGUACCGUCAGAAGAAGCUCCGGCGGACUACGUGCCAGCAGCGCGGUAA